AAUAAAAAGGGAGGGGGUGCCCCUUUUCAGUUUCAGCACAUGCCCCUCAAAAGGUCUGUGCACGGCCCUGGGCGCAGGUUUAUGUUACAAUUGAAGAGACAAUUUGCAGAGGGGGUCGGAGUCGAGGAGACGCUUCACACAGAUCUGAAAACAUGGGUUACAGAAAUCUGUGAAGAAAGUAAGAUGAUUGCAGCACAUCAUGGUGACAGAGACGAUCUGCAUUUUCUUCCGGAGCUUGUCCCAAAUGUAAUAAGAAUGGUAAAUGGUAAUCUUCAGUGACACAAGGCAAGACCCCCUCUGCAAAUCAUCUCUUCAGUUGUGCUUUGCAUGUUUCUGAGACUACAGCAUUCCCACUGGCUAAUGAGCUUGAUGCAGUGUGCAACAUCUACUCUGAUGAAGCAGGGUGGUAGCUUUGAGUCUUCGGGCUUCCCUGCCAGCACUCCAAAGCACUGAUUGGUGUAUGUUUUCAAGUCUGGGUAAGGAGUGAAGGCCUUAACCAGUGCUCCAACCAAAGCCAAGGAGAAAUCACAGACUGCUUCUUUGGGCACAGCAGCACCUGCUCGUUUCCAUUCAGUAAGCCAGUUGGCAGUAGAAUUGAUUGUGUGGCUCUCUGACAGCAUUUGCACUACUGGAAUAUAAUGUUCCUUUGAACACAAAACUCCUUGAUACAGGAAGACAUGUCCAGAAUUGCCACAGGGUCUUCUCAGUCUUUUCACAACUGUACUUGUUGCAUCAAAACUCAUAAAUGAACCAGAGUACUUGGAUUUCAUUUGAUACACUUGCAUCUGAGAUGGGGUCCAGUAAUGCAAAAAAACAA